UUGUUUGUUUUGUUAACUCUAUUCCCGCUUAGUGCACCUCAGAAGCCCUUUCAAUGGCCGAGUUAAUACGUAUGUAACUUUCCCACCACAACUGUUUAUAUCGACUUUGACAAACUACCAACAAUCACUGGACGCGUUACAUUUUAUCAUUAUUGAAAUGUACAUAUGUAUUUCCACUCAGUUCUGUUUAAAAUUUAAUUGUCUUGUUUUUUAUCUACGAGUUAUAUUUAAGAAUUUUUCAUGCGAAUACACUUUUCUCGAUGGCAAAUACAGAGGAGUUAAAUUUACAUCAGGCUAUCGCCAAAACUAUUCCACUUUGCACAAUUUAAUUUUCACGAUUGUAUAAACACAAAUACAUAUGUAGAAAUUCGCACCUAAUUGCAAUGGCUAAAUAGAAAAAACUUGAGGAGAAACAGUUGCCCAAGAAAAAGUAUGCUCGUCUGUUUCGAAAUUUCGCUAUAUUCGCCUUUACUUUAGUUCAGUCUGAUUUUUUCAGCCCAUCCUCUUGUAUUGGACAACGGCAACCCCAAAAAUUGCCAUAUUCCUCUCAAUAUCGACAACACAAUGCGCCAGCGCCUAAAAGAGACUCGUACAUUCGUACAAUUCGCUUACGAUAUUUGAGGGUUAGAGCGUUGUUGCAGUUCGGGGGUUGAUAGGUCAUUUAGCUUUCCUCUUUUCGCAUUCUCGAACUCGUCUCGCUACAGAUACAGUUGCCCCCGUUGCAACGAUUGAAAUAUUUGCCUUGUCGCAAAGCCAUACGACAAAUUGGUCUACUCAGUUUUCGCUUUUUCAUGAGAAAUGAAAGUGAGCAAAAAUAUGCAUUCGGUCAGUUGAUUACCAGGAUAACUCACCUCAACAUUUACUUAUGUCCGCUUUUGAUAUAGCGAAAACGAAAUAAUUGUGGGAACAGAGCGAAAAUUUCUAUAUUAAAUCAUUUCAACGAACAAAUUCUCGAUUACCAAAUUUAAAAUAACUCUGGGGACUGACCCAGUCACUCUAAAAUGCCAUACAUCUUAAGAGGAUGCUCUCUUCAAAACGGCCGCCAACUGGACAGCAGAGACUCAAUGCUAAGUUCUAAUACGCUAUUGUACCUAGUAGUUAAUAUAUUUUAGUUUUUAAUUUUAGUUUUUUCUUAACUCUAAUCUCUGUAAUUCUUUAAGAGUGCAUGUUAUAUACUGUUACAACAAGAAAGGAGGAUAAUGUAAUACGAUUUGGUAGCACAAAAAAAUUACCGCGGUACAAACCACUUAUAGUAUGUAUGUAUGUAUAUGCAUUUAAAUAAAAGUCGUAUUUAAGGAGUUUA
rnacentral:lncRNA from 1 species